GAUGAAGAACGUAGCGAAAUGCGAUAAGUAAUGUGAAUUGCAGAAUUCCGUGAAUCAUCGAAUCUUUGAACGCACAUUGCGCCCCCUGGUAUUCCGGGGGGCAUGCCUGUCCGAGCGCCAUUGCAACCUUCAAGCGCGGCUUGUGUGUUGGGUCUCGUCCCCCGUGGACGGGCCCGAAAGGCAGUGGCGGCGUCCCGACAUGGUGCCCGAGCGUAUGGGAAUCCUCUUCCGCUCGAAUCGGCCCAUGCGGCGCUGGUCGUAACCAAAUUUUUUACCGGUUGACCUCGGAUCAGGUAGGGAUACCCGCUGAACUUAAGCAUAUCAAUAAGCGGAGGA
rnacentral:misc_RNA from 1 species